rnacentral:rRNA from 1 species
UGGGGAAUAUUGGGCAAUGGGCGAAAGCCUGACCCAGCAACGCCGCGUGAAGGAAGAAGGUCUUCGGAUCGUAAACUUCUAUCCCCGGUGAAGAUAAUGACGGUAACCGGGAAGGAAGCCCCGGCUAACUACGUGCCAGCAGCCGCGGUAAUACGUAGGGGCAAGCGUUGUCCGGAAUGAUUGGGCGUAAAGGGCGCGUAGGCGGCUCGGUAAGUCUGGAGUGAAAUUCCUGCUUUUAAGGUGGGAACUG